rnacentral:rRNA from 1 species
UACGGAGGGUGCAAGCGUUAUCCGGAUUUACUGGGUUUAAAGGGUGCGUAGGUGGGUAAGUAAGUCAGUUGUGAAAUCUCCGGGCUUAACUCGGAAAGGUCAACUGAUACUGUGCGACUAGAGUGCAGAAGGGGCAACUGGAAUUCUCGGUGUAGCGGUGAAAUGCGUAGAUAUCAAGAGGAACACCUGCGGCGAAGGCGGGUUGCUGGGCCGACACUGACGCUGAGGCGCGAAAGCCAGGGGAGCGAACGGG